CACAGAGCUCAACACGGGGCUUGAACUUACAACCAUGGAUGCUCAACCGACAGAGCCACUGAGGUGCCCCAAGAAAGUAGAUCUUGAAAGUCCUUAGGUGAUCUCUCCAGUUUGAAGCCAAUUAUUCCCUUCAAAUCUAAAAGCAGUUGAGGAAUCAACUGGGCAAGUGGGAUCACAAGUGCAUACCUUUAAAGAGGAUGGAAGACAGCAGCAAUUAAUUAAUGAAGACUGAAGAAAUACUUAUUAUAAUGUUUAAAAUGUUCUUUUGUACUUAUUUGACAAAAAUCCCAAGAUUCAUCAGUUUCUGGAAACUCAACGCAAGGGCUGCCGGCUCCUGACUCAGGCCACUGUUGUUAGUCUCCCCUGGCUCCCUCCAAACACCACCUGCCCCUGGGCUUCUGAGCUCACACAAACCACUGUCCCUGCCGCCCUCAUCUGCCCAGUGCCUCCGGUGGCCAAGAAUUCCACAUGAAUGGUUUACGAUGUUGGUGAAAUGUUCUCUAUGAUACCACAAAAUGUCUUCUUAAAACCAACCAAAUAAUGUUGAUCAGUAAAUUUCCUUCUUCAGUGAUCUCUGUGGACAGAAGAGUUUGAGGCACAUGAACAAAGAAUGCUCAAGAUUAUUGGGAUCUGGAAGGUACUUUGUGAACACAUGAGGCUGCGCACCUGUACUCUAUGAUGGUGGUUGACAUUGGUGGUGGGAAGAUUUCAACUUUUCUCUAAUUUAAGAAGAUUUAAAUAAAGUAUGUUGUUCUGAUUGAAACCUGUGAAGAAAAUCUAGCUGCAUGAAAAUGUGUAGCUGGAAAAGGGAGGAUUUGACGGACACCUGAAAGAAUCUCAAGGACUCGUAGGUGUUUUUGGACUGCAUUUUGAAAAUGACUGAUAUAGAUGUAAGUGCUAAAAAAGCUUUGUUCCCAUAAAAGUAGGUGAAAAUGGAAAGAAUAGUGAUAACAGCUACACACUUAAAAAUAUCCAUUAUACAUGUUCCUGUUGUCAAAUGCUAUUUUCAAUUGCUAACAAUCAAGUCCUCUUCCAAUUUUGUUGAAAAGUGAUUUGAAUUUGCAAACGAAUUUGUUACUUGAUCUUAGAGUCAUUUAUUUUCUCAAUAUUUGGGAAAUACACCAAAAGGAUCUUUUGAAGAAUUAACAAAUGGCAAUUAAUCAGGGAUAUUACUCUUUCUCUUAGACAUACCCUAUUUGGGUUUUUAACAUAGAAAGCAUUGGAAAAAUGGAAGUGUUGUCAAUUUCAAUACAGCUUUAAUAAUAGAGUGUGCUAAUGUAAAAUGUUUGUAUGUAGUGACAAUAGCAUAUGUGUGUGUGUGUGUGUAUCCCACCCCGCCCUACUCCCACUACUUAAUUGUUGGGAGUUCCAAUUAGUUUAUUCAAUUCAUUGAAAAUGUCAAGUCAGGGCUCCUGGGUGCCUCAGUCAGUUAAGCGUCCAACUCUUGGUUUCAGUUCAGGUCAUGAUCUCAC